CAGCCGCCGCGGUAAUACAGAGGGUGCGAGCGUUAAUCGGAUUUACUGGGCGUAAAGCGUGCGUAGGCGGCUUUUUAAGUCGGAUGUGAAAUCCCUGAGCUUAACUUAGGAAUUGCAUUCGAUACUGGGAAGCUAGAGUAUGGGAGAGGAUGGUAGAAUUCCAGGUGUAGCGGUGAAAUGCGUAGAGAUCUGGAGGAAUACCGAUGGCGAAGGCAGCCAUCUGGCCUAAUACUGACGCUGAGGUACGAAAGCAUGGGGAGCAAACAGGAUUAGAUACCCCGGUAGUCCCUGUCUCUUAUAU
rnacentral:rRNA from 1 species